rfam:Variovorax sp. WDL1 contig_146, whole genome shotgun sequence.
GGGGCUGCACUGGUUUCGACGUGGGUUCGGAAUCGCAGCGGGGCAUGUCGAGCUGAAUGCGCUCGUAAAACAGAUUCAAACAAACUAACUGCAAACGACGAACGUUUCGCACUCGCCGCUUAAUUGCCGGUGAGCUUUGCAACAGCACGCCGAUGGGCUGGGCAAGGGGGCAAGGAGCAAUCCGCGCCUCCCGGCUGCAAAGAUAAUCUACAUCGGCUGGCCUCGAUCCGGGUACCUUGGGUCGAGGCGAGAUCCAAGGGUACUGGCGGCCGGUGUAGCGUGCGACUGCGCGACACCGGUGGCGAGACUCAAAACAGAUCGCUAAACAUGUAGAUCUGCGCGAAGAAGGCUUGCGGACGGGGGUUCAAAUCCCCCCAGCUCCACCA